AACGAACGCUGGCGGCAGGCUUAACACAUGCAAGUCGAACGCCCCGCAAGGGGAGUGGCAGACGGGUGAGUAACGCGUGGGAACAUACCCUUUCCUGCGGAAUAGCUCUGGGAAACUGGAAUUAAUACCGCAUACGCCCUACGGGGGAAAGAGUUAUCGGGGAAGGAUUGGCCCGCGUUGGAUUAGCUAGUUGGGGGGGUAAAGGCCUACCAAGGCGACGAUCCAUAGCUGGUCUGAGAGGAUGAUCAGCCACAUUGGGACUGAGACACGGCCCAAACUCCUACGGGAGGCAGCAGUGGGGAAUAUUGGACAAUGGGCGCAAGCCUGAUCCAGCCAUGCCGCGUGAGUGAUGAAGGCCUUAGGGUUGUAAAGCUCUUUCACCGAUGAAGAUAAUGACGGUAGUCGGAGAAGAAGCCCCGGCUAACUUCGUGCCAGCCGCCGCAGUAACAC
rnacentral:rRNA from 1 species